CAGAUAGACGUUACUCUCUUUCCAUUUUCCUCUUGGUGUUGACAUCGAUGGAUUAGCUUGAGAACCCAGUUAGUGAUCUCGCUCCUUUGGUAGGGUCGUUGUAGCUUUUCAGGCUCUUCCACCGUUUUUAGUAGAUGUGUGUACCCAGACAUGUAACUUCCGCUUGUUGUUUGUAUGCUCUGAAUAUUGGUCAUGAGACCUCCUGUUUGUAACAUUAUAUUAUGUUGGCUCUUUGGAGCCUUCUAAAUAAAUGAUGUGUUGCAGAGUUAUGUUGUGAUGUCAUGUUGUAUCUACACAUAUCGUAUAUAUUGUGUGAACGUUUGAAAUGUAUUGGUAUGUG
rnacentral:lncRNA from 1 species